UCAAUUUUAUGUAUAUAAAUAUAGAGUCCGGCUACUAUACUAUCGGUUGUACAGAGGGCUAUGUGCUAUCAAAUUGUUUUCAAUGAUGCGGGUUCCAAAUCGACGAUCGGCUCCGUUAGACUUGAUCUACACUAUUGAAAGUAUUUGGAAACUAAAUUUUAGAUUCUUUCAACAUCAUUUGACUAGUGAUCAAAAGAUCUCAAAAUUGACAAUUUUAAUGGCCGGUGUGGUGUCUUUGUGAGUUUAACAGUGUAAAACAAUUCAAAUGCGAUGAAAAUUUUAUAGAAAAUUCUUUUCACUAUUUAGAGUAAGAUUAGUAUAUAUGAUCUUGAAUUUAAAUCUUUUAUCAUCAUUUUUUAUGAGAUUUUUAUUUUCAGCCGUUCAAUUUUAGACUACUCGUUUGAUAGGUAAAUGAUAUCGAAAAAUUAUGAAAUUUAGUUUCUAAAUACUUUUAAUAGUGUAGAUCAAGUCUAACGGAGCCGAUCGUCCAUUUGGAAGCCGGAUCAUCGAAAACAACUUGGUAGCACGGAGCCUUCCGUGCUACCGAUAGUAUAGUAGUCUAGUUCUAUAUAUAUAUAUAUAUAGUUUCGAGGUACAUGAUAUCGUGUUUAGUAACACUAGAAGAGAUCAGAACCAUUGAUUUUUUUUCUUUCUAUCGAAUAGAAUUAUCGAUUAAUCUGAGGUGUUGGAUAUUUAUCAAACAAUUUGGAGUUAUACGGACAUGUUUAGUCUUUUGGUUAUAUAACGCGGUCCAAACUUACCAAGGUUUACAAUCAAAUAAGGGCAUUACAGAAAAAAAUUCAAUUAAAAAUUGAUGGUAUAUGAAAGUAAUUUCAGCAAAUGAGAAUUUAAUUCAUUAAGCAGUAAAUACGAAAAGCAUUGUGUUAGGGAGUUUCUGAUUAGCUUAAUCUGAAAUAAUUUGAAACUAAACAUUACCAAUUUAUAUAACUUAGCAAUCAUGCAGGUAAUGUGCAACUCACCCUCCUCGUAGCAAGAUGUCACGCAAAGAAAGACAGCAACAUUCCACCCAAUAGUAUUUAAUAAUACCUUCCAAUUCCAAAUUCAAGCAAAAUCCUAUUUCCAUGACUAUCACAUUCGCACACAUCCUUUUCAUCAUAAAUUAAAGGAAAUCACAGGAUCGAUACAAGAGAAAUCACUAUACAAAUUGCGCACAGUAACCUUCCCCCCCUUUUUUUUUUUGUUGUUUUUUUCUCCUUUUUAUUAAAGUAAAUCAUUUGCCUUUCACUCCAACCCCCUAAUUUGACCAAAGCAACCACCAAACUAAACAAAUUAAGAACCAACUUGCAUGGUAACCCCCCCCGGGCCCACCCGUCAUUACGGGCACCUCCCAGAUUCUUCAGCUUUUCCUGAUUUGAUCCAAUUCCCCUUAAUAAUUUUUUUUUCUUAAAAAAAAAAAAGGUGCGCGUGCGGGUGCGGGUGCGGGUGCGGGUGCCGGAAUGAAUGCAUUUAUGUGUGUAUGUGUUUAGGUCCACGUUAGUGCGACCGGGCUCGCCACCACGUGCUUACCGUCGGACCACACCACCCGACCGAACCCGGUCGAACCCGAGGGAAGCGACGGCGCCGUGAAGCUCACGGUGUAGCUCUUCUUCUCCCCGGCCUUGGCGAAGCUCAGCUCCGUCGGGUCCACCGUGACCUUCACCGUGCCCCCCUGCGCCGUCGCCGACGCCGCGACCUUGUAGGUCCCCGGGGCGCCGACGUUGGUGAGCGUCCUCGCGUGCUCGACGGUGGCGGGUGCGGCGCCGACGCCGUCGCCGGAGGCGGUGGCGAAGGCGACCGAGAAGGAGGGGUAGUUGAGGUCGGAGACCGCGUAGGGCUUGGCGGCGCAGGUGUAGUUGGGGCGCUUGGCCACGCUGGCGAUCUGGAGGGACGUGUAGUUGAGCGCGCAGAGGAAGUCGAGGUAGUCCUCGGGGGCGAGGUCGUAGACGAGCCCCGGAUCGACGGCGCUGGUGGGGUCCACGUGCCCGGCCCCGAAGUCGAACGGCGUGGCGGCCUGCCCCGUGGCGACGUCGAGGAUGGCGCCGGCGCCGGCGCCAGAGUAGGCGGAGUAGGCGGUGGUCAUGAGCGCGGAGCGGAUGGCGGCGGGGCUCCAGUCCGGGUGGGCCCCGCGGAGGAGCGCGGCGAGGCCGCUGACGUGGGGGCACGACAUGGAGGUGCCCGAGAUGAUGUUGAACUCCACCCGGCGCGGGUCCACCGCCAGGCCCGUGGGCCCCACCGCGCCGGUCCAGGCGGCCAGGAUGUUGACCCCGGGCGCGAUCAGGUCGGGCUUCAGGAUCUCCGGCGUGACGGCGUUGGGCCCGCGCGACGAGAACGCGGCCACCACGGGCGACGGCCGCACCCCGACCUGCGUCCCGGAGAAGGCGAUGGUGGCGGUGGGGCUCGGGUCGGCGCGCAGGUAGGCGCGAAUGGCGUCCCCGGCUCUCUGGCCCACGCCCGUGGCCGGGAGGAGGUGGGCGUCGGCGACGAGCUCCUCCCCGUUGGCGGCGGUGUUGGCCAGCACCAUCCCGGCCCCGCCCGCGUCGCGCACCACGUACCCCUUCUGCACGCGCGCGUUCACGCCGCGGUCGCACAGCACCACCUUCCCCCUCACCUUCUCCGGGAUCAGCGUCCCCGGCGUGCACAGGUUCCCGCUCGUGGAGUUGGUGGCGUUCCCGGCGUACACGAGCGGGAGCGACGCCGGCAGCGGCUUCCCGCUGUAGAGCGACACCCCCGAGUAGUUGCGGCCGUCGCCCAGCAGCACCGGCGCGGGGAAGUCGCGGUCGAGCGUGCCCGCGCCCACGGUGGUGAUCCAGGGGGCCACGUUCGAGAGCGAGGCGGCGGCGGGCCCGGCGUUCCCGGCGGAGCAGGAGACGAGCACGCCCUUCUCCAUGGCCGCGAAGGCGCCGAUGGCGACGCUGUCGCUGUAGUAGUCGGCCGAGCCGCCGCCGAGGGAGAGCGAGAGCACGUGGCACCCGUCGGCCACGGCGGCGUCCAUGGCCGCCAGGAUGUCGGAGCUGAAGCACCCGCCGAGCCAGCACACCUUGUAGGCCGCCACGCGCGCGCGCGGCGCCAUCCCGCGCGCCGNGGCGUCCAUGGCCGCCAGGAUGUCGGAGCUGAAGCACCCGCCGAGCCAGCACACCUUGUAGGCCGCCACGCGCGCGCGCGGCGCCAUCCCGCGCGCCGCGCCCGCCGCCGUCGUCGACGUGUGGGUCCCGUGCCCGUCGUCGUCGCGCGGGGACCGCGACUCCCGGCUCUCGUCGAUGGGGCCCAUGCUCGCCUCGUACCCCUUGGCGAAGAACCGCGCGCCGAUGAGCUUGCGGUUGCACGCGCUCGCGCUGAAGUUGGUGCCUUGCUCGCACGCGCCCUUCCACGCGGCGGGCACGGGGCCGAGCCCCGCGUCGUCGAAGCUCGGGCGCUCGGGCCACACCCCCGUGUCCAGGACCCCGACCACCACGUCCGCCGCGGUUCCGGUCAUGGGGAACAGCCCCUCGUUCCGGUCCAGCCCCAGGAACUCGGGGGUGCGCGUGGUGUGGAGCUCGUACCGGCGCUCCGGGUGCACCGCCACCACGCCGGGGAGGCGCUCCAGGGCGCGGGCCUGCGCCGGGGUGAGCCGGGCCGAGAACCCGUGGGCCACCGUGUCGUACGCGUACAGAAGCUCCGCGCCCGCGCCCGACACCGACCGGAGCGACGCGCCGUACCACGCCCGGUGCUCCGCGAACUCCGCGGGCAUCGCGUGCUUCGCCAUGUGCACGAUGUACGUCCCCGCCCUCGCCCCCUCCCCUGCCGACACGUGGCACGCCGAGAAGAGCACCACCACCACCGCCGCCGCCGAGAAGAGAGCAAGCCUGGAAUUACAAGUACGCCACUCCAUUGCUCUCUCCCCUCUCUUCUCUCUUCUCUCUUCUCUUUGUGUGUGUGUUUUUGCUUGUUAUAAAUUCCUCUUCCCUUCGUUUGUUUUAUAGGAAACGAAAGGGAGAAGCGGGGGUUUACAUACAGGGAUAAAGAGUGUGGGGUGUUUUAUCCUUGGUGGGUAAGAAAAAAUAAAAAUAAAAAUAAAAAUAAAAGAAAAAAGAAAAAAAAGAAAGGGUAAAUGGAGGGCGUGAAGAAGAGCUAAUGAUUGCUUACAGGCAAAAGCAAAAAGACUAAAAUGAGUAAAAAAAAGCAGUGUUGAGAGAGAGAGAGAGAGAGAUGGAUGGGAGUCACAUGGGUUUCUUGUUGCUACUCUCUUCUUUAUAGCCUUAAUUUGCUUAAUCUAAUCUUUUAACUUAGAAAGAUUUUAUUAUGUCCUGAUCUUAGCAAUCACUACUGUCUAAGUCUAAGUGAAGUGUGAAAAAAGGUAUGGCUUGACUAAUUUUUCUUAAGUGUAGCGAUUGCCCGUUACUUUGAGCUUAAUUAGCUACUGGUACAUUCCGUAGUUGGGUUGGUAGGAUAAUUUGCUCUCGCUUUGUGCGGUACGAAAAGUGGCGUGUUUAAUUUGAGCUCAAAUUAGGCUAAGUUUUGGCUUAAAUAAUAAUAUAAUAUACGAAAUUUAUUUACCACUCUAAUUACUGAAAUUAACAUUCUAGGUAAUAUGAUUUUGGUUCGGGUUUAGCAAAUUAUUACAUGAAACAUUUUGAGGUAAAAAAAACACAAAAUUAACUGCGCCAUGAGUGUAUAGUUAUAUAAAACCAUGCAAUGAAAUAGAAUCGCUAACUAAUUAAGCACAGAAUCCGUAGGUUAUUUAGUAUUAUCUUUCUGAAAAUGAGAUUUAGUAUUGGUAUGUAGGCUUAUAGAAUAGCUUAUCCUCUGUGACUAAAGUCUACGAUACAAAAAACCCGUGUUUUUGAAAAAAGUAUACUAUUUCUAUAAGAAAAGAGUAAAGGCUUUUCCAUGAAGCGAGAAAUAAAACUUGGCUUCUAGAGUUUGCGAAGUUUUCAAGUCCAAACUUAAGCAGAAUUUUGUUGACAAAUAAAACUAGCACAAAAAUUCAUUCCUUUUAUUACCUGCUUCACAUUGAAAGUUAAACAAAUUGAAUUAGCAAAUUCUUUUGUAGUCCGAUACACUAUAGAUGGAGUUGAGCUUUUGUGCUUUCAAAAAUAUUGAAAUAUUUGAAUUUGUGAUUUUUUAACCAUCGGAUGGUUUCAAGAUCUGUACAGCGCUAUUAACAGUGUGUCUCAUCAAAUUUUUUUUUGUUAAUAUUGUACGAAUUUUAAAACAAUUUUAUGAUUAGAAACUUACAAACACGUUUUUUUAAGCACGGAAGCUCAACUCUCGGCAUAUGUUAGCUAGUCUUUCAAGAUGGUAAAAAAAAAGGAAAUUUUAACUGCCACUACUUUGAUGUUUGUCGGCCCAAUAAGUCAACAAAAAUUGAACCUGACUCCAACCCAAUUAACUAUCGUACUUUUUAAUUAAUAUACAAAAUCUUAUUAAAUUCAUAUAGUAAAUAAAUAAAUAUUAAGAAUCAUUCUAGAGAGAGGGAAUUCUACACUAUCACACUUGCACCACGUCAUCAAUAACAAGUCAAUUACAUUUAUUUUUUUGAAACAAAAAUGCAAUAAAAAUAUUUUUUUAUAAUCAUGAUGGGACGUAUAUCUUUAAAAAAAGAUAUUUGAUUGGCUUGUUACGUCACGUCACUAAUAUAUUCGUUGCAUUUGGAUGGCGAAGAAUAAAAAAAAAAAAAAACUUGGAAAGAGGCAAAAUUGAGCUAGUGGGGGGGGGGGGGGGGGGGGAGGGGGGGAUUGCGCGACAAGGCGAAAGCAAUUUUGAGUCACGGGAGGGUAUGCAGUUUGUGCCGCACUAGGCGCCGAAUAAGGAGAGGGCGUGGUGGGCCCCACACCGUCUCAGCGAUGUCCGCAAUGCGGAUGCGGAUCUAUUGGGUUCGGGCCAAUGGCCGCACGACAGUUGAUGCAAAGAGAUUCGUCUAAGUAUCACCACCACCACCGCCACCACCACCUCCACCACCACGAGUAUUUAUCCUUCUAUGUAUCCGUGCACGUGUUAUUGCACGUGUUAUAAUGCACUUGUUGAAUUGUUUCUCUCACAAGAUACUGGGGGAGAGGACAUUAUUUGAGUGCCCUGGUUCACCACGGCAACUAAGUACGAGCUCUUACUUUCGAAUUGAGAAGUUUUAUAAUGGGAAAACUUGAAAAAUCCCCCUUGUGGUUUCAAUUUUUUUCACUUUAAUACCAUAUGGUUUAAAAUGUAUCAAGUUAGUACCCCGUGGUUUCUCACUUUAUCACUUAAGUACCCUGUGGUUUAAAGUGUAUCAAGUUAGUACCCUGUGGUUUUGCACUUUAUCACUUUAGUACCAUAUGGUUUUAAUUUUGUAUCAAGUUAGUACCCUAUAGUUUUUUAAACCACAGGGUACUAAAGUGAUAAAGUGCAAAACCACAGGGUACUAGCUUGAUACAUUUUAAACCACAGGGUACUAAAGUGAUAAAGUGAGAAACCACAGGGUACUAACUUGAUACACUUCAAACCACAGGGUACUAAAAUGAAAAAAUAUGAAACCACAGGGGGAGUUUUUGAAGUUUUCCCUUUUAUAAUCUAAACUUACAAUUAAUCAGAGUCAUUAAAUUUGAUCAAAUUCAAUGAUGUCAGAUUCAAUCUUAUUGUCCUUUAGAUAUUCUAUACAUAAGGGAACGUGGUUUUUUACUAUUUUUUUCUUCAGUCGUCGUAAUUUUUGAUGGGUAAACUUUUUAGAUAUCAUAGGAUAAUGAUUCAAAAGUUUUAUGUUAGUAGGUUAGGGAGAUCACUCUAUGGUAAGCUAUGGUUCAAGCAAUAAUUAAGAAAGAGGAGAGCGAAGUUCAUCACGGAACUGUCGGAACUGUUGAUGAGUGGAAGCGAGAAGUGACAUUUGUCUCGAAUCUAUUAAAAAAAACGCAUUAACACUAUUGCGUUUGAUACUGGAGCUUUGGCAAAACUCACUAGUUUGGAGGUUUCUUCGUGAUCUUUUAAGAUAUAAAAUAAAAAAAAAUACCAAAAUUUAGUAUGUGCUUUUUUGUUUGUUCUUCCUUUUUCAAAGUAGAGUAAACGAUGCUAAUGCACGAAGAAUCUGAAUACUUUUGAAUUUUCAAAAAUUCAGUGCAUUGUGCUAAAAGUGGCGCACGAGAACAAGAAUGUUGGAUACUGACCCGUGGCCUUUACGUGUGAAUCAGAUACCACUUUAGCAAUGCCAAUUUUAAGUGCCUUAUCCACAUUCGAUCCACAUGAAAACAUGAAUGACAAGUUAGGCUCAAAUGUUGCAUUAAGUGGUAAACUAAACAAAGAUCAAUAACAAUAAAGAUUAAUCAACACACAUCCAAACACACACACACACACACACACACACACACACACACACAAAAAGAGGAUAUCAAGUAGGUCUCUACUAGUUUCAUGAGUUGUCAUCUGAUUCUUAUUCUCAAAAAAGAUGAACUGGUUCAAAAGAAUUUUUUUUUUUCAAAUGCUUAUUAAUUAGUUCCGAUGCAUUACAAGUCUUGGUGUUAUUCAGAGUCGUUUAUGCCAAUGAAUUGUUGCAAAUUGCCGGUGAUUAUGUAGCGAAAGGAUUACUACGAAUUGAUUAAAUUCGAUCAGUGAAUACUAAAUACAUUUUGCAGUAGUAUACUUGAAAUACGACCAACGGUUGUUAUAUAUUCAUUAUUAAUUGUUCAUUAACGGUCCUGUAACCAAUGACUAGAAUCUAAUUCAUGAAUUAGCUAGUCCUUCUAAUUUCCUCAUUUAGAUAUCAAAUAAUUCGAACAUCAUUCAUUAAUGUUUCCUAUCACUUCAUUUUUGUGGAAGAGGCGAGCUUAAGAUAAGCCAUAGCUUUCGAUGUUCGGCGGCUACCGAACAUACAUGAAUGGCUCAUGUCCCUACUUGAUCAUUGAACCUUGUUCCAUUUUUUCUUACGAUUGGGUCCGUAUGAGUCCAUCCAAUUAAAGUUCCUGUGAGUUUUUGCAUGUGGGUCUUGUGGACUUGUGCUUGUGCCCCCACAAUGAUUUAGAAGAUACAAAUUUGUACAUGAUAUAUAGUGGCAGCUCAUAAUUGUUUGGCCCAUCAUUUUGGACUCCACCUGUAAUGCUUCGUUGGCGCGAUUGCGAUGCUACCUCCCAUUUUCGCAGUUUUAAUCUUAAUUUUUGCUCUAGUACAACAUACAAGGGAGACACUGUUGUGUUUUGUUACAUUAGGUUAAUUACUUGUUGAAGCUCAAGAUGAUGGUUAAGAUGAUGAUUGAGCCAUUGUUCUCCAAAAUUCAAGUAUACUAUUUAGAGCAUUUGAUCUCUAAAAUCUUAAUUAAUUUCCAUCAACUCGAUCACAAAUAGGGGAAGCUUUUCCUACAAUUGUCACCCAACAAAUCUUCGGUCGAAUAUAGGAAAAUAAAGUAUUCAGGCCAUAUAAAGAGAUCGCAUGUAUAUGUCUUUUUUUUGUCGGUCCUCUUUUUCUUUCUGUAUAAUUUUUCCUUUUUUUUUUUGCUUUUAAGACCUAGCUUACUAUUAUAGCUUAGUAUUUUAUUUUAAUAAAUGAAACAGAUAAUUUACUAUUGUUGAUCAGUUAAUUUCUGAAUUAGGCGAAAUAAAAGAGCUUUUGGGAUGAUAAGAUAAGAUGUCGCCCUCUCCCACGUUUGGUGCGCUAUAACCCACAGAGAGGUGGCCCUCAGAUUACAAGAGCUUUUUACCUGACAAAAAGCUACUCUCUCUCUCUCUCUCUCUCUCUCUCUCUCUCUCUCUCUCUCUCUCUCUCUCUCUCUCAUGCACUCUUGUAAAAUUAAUCAUCUAUAUAUAGAUUUACUUCUCAAAAAAAAAAAAUCAUCUAUAUAUAGAUUUGUCUGUUGUUACUGCUACUAUGAGCUUGUAAAACGUCUCUGUCUUUGGGAGAAAUUAAAAUGCGAAUUUUGAUUAAACAUAGAAAGGAAAAGGGCCUUUGUAUUAUGUCUCUUCACAUUCGGAAAAAGAAUAAAAAUGAAAGGUCUUUUUAAGUUAUUCUGUAAGAACAUUGGUAUGUUUGUUCUCUCUCUCUCUUUUAGGUGGUGAGAAUGAGAAUCUAGAGUGACCAUAUUGUUCAAAAAUAUUUAUUUAUUUUUUUAGGAAAAAGUAGCGCGCUACCCCCCUUAACUACAGCAAUGAGGCAACAGGGCCUCGCUUGGAAAAAUACAAGUAGUUAAAUGAAAAUUGCGACGGUAAAAUGAAAAGAUAAUUGAAAGAAACUGUAAAAACAAGAACGAAAAGAACCAAAAAUAAAGCAAAAACAAGAGUAAGCCAGGCAAAACCACAUUAAACUACGCUAGAGAAAGUUUUGCAUCUUUUGCUAAGAAGAUUCUCCUUCCAAAGUCUCAUUAGACAUCCCAUGUUGCUUACAACAUGAAUUAGGUCCCAUGUAAGUCCUUUGAAGAUCACUUCAUUUUUUCCAAUCAAAUUAUCCAUCAGAUUGCCACUAAAGUACACAGUAUCUUCGUACUAUUUUAGGAAGAUGCCAACAUCAUCGAUCCCUCUCAAACGACGCUCACCCUUCCUACAACCCUUCCUACAAGCUCUUGCUCAUUCACCUCUUCAAGUGACAUCACGAGCAGAUACUUGCUAACGAUGCAUCUGGUGAAGAUAUGAUCGACCAUCUCAACUCAAGAAUGUCUCCACAUAACACGCACAACUCGGAUCUUCUACCCACUCCUUUCUCAGUAGAUUAUUCGCUGUAAGCACUCUAUUGUUCAAAAAUGUUUAAAUCCAAACUGUUGAUAUUAAUAUGUAAAUUUAAUAUUUAAUAUGUCAAACCUAUAUUAUCAGUUGUUUGAAUGUAUUUGUGUGUAGCCAUUCUCCAAUUGUAUGCUUUGUUUGGCCCAUGCAUUUUUGGAAAAUUUUGGGCUAAAAAAAAAGAUAAAUGGUUUGUUCCAAUCCUUUCGUUUUUCUUUCUUCAACUUACGUGAAAGAAAUUUCAACAAAAGCAACUAAUGGAGUUUCCUCUCCAUGUAUAUCAACAAAUUAAUUCGAUCGUAAAAUUGAAAACGAACAAUAAUUAAGGAUGUGAUCAAUCACCUCGUAGUAUGUUUAAUUAGGUGGCUAAAAGAAUUGGAAUCUAUAAAAGAUGUCCCCUCUAUGCCAAUUAUUGUAGAAAAGCUGUUGUGGUGGGUCUUCUAACAAAACUGUAUUCAAGACUCUGUGUUAGGUUAUGGGGUCAUUGUUUACAAUGGCUUUCACAUGGAGCUGGAGAAGCAAACUUUUUAUUGAUAAGUGGAGCAUUUAUAUUCCAAAAAGAGUACGGAACUGAAUAACAGGUUUUAUAUAUAUAUAUAUAUAUAUAUAUAUAUAUAUAGAGUCCGGCUACUAUACUUUUAUGAGUAUUAGCUCCCUUAUACUCAUAAGUUUUCGGCCCUUUGAUUUAUUCCAUUAGUUAUUUUCAUCCGUUAGAUCAUACUAUUUAACCAACUAUCCACUCAACCCUAGAGGACCACUAACAUUUUAAGUGGGGACCACCAUCAUCCUAACCAUACAUUCUAUUAAUUAACGGUUAAAAAUUUAUGAGUACAAUGAGGUCUAUACUCAUAAGAGUAUAGUAACCCCGGCCUAUUANAGGACUCUAUACUCAUAAGAGUAUAGUAACCCCGGCCUAUAUAUAUAUAUA
rnacentral:lncRNA from 1 species